GAGCAAGUGGAUCUUUUGGUUUACGAGGGGCACAUGGACCAGCAGGCCCAAAGGGGGUGACUGGGAUUCCAGGAUCUCAAGGACUGCCUGGGAACCAAGGCGGCCGAGGCUUAAAAGGUGCCAAAGGAGAUGCUGGAAGCAAAGGUGAAC